ACGUAGGUGGCAAGCGUUAUUCGGAAUUACUGGGCGUAAAGGGUGUGUAGGCGGGAUUGUAAGUCAGAGGUGAAAGCCUCGGGCUCAACUCCAGACCUGCCUUUGAGACUGCAUCGCUUGAAUCCAGGAGAGGUAAGUGGAAUUCCGAGUGUAGCGGUGAAAUGCGUAGAUAUCCGGAAGAACACCAGUGGCGAAGGCGGCUCACUGGACUAGAACUGACGCUGAGGCGCGAAAGCGUGGGGAGCAAACAG
rnacentral:rRNA from 1 species